rnacentral:rRNA from 1 species
AGCAUGUGGUUUAAUUCGAUGAUACGCAGGAACCUUACCUGGGCUCAAAUGUAUGUUGACGUAUUCUGAAAGGGAUACUUCUUCGGACAAUAUACAAGGUGCUGCAUGGUUGUCGUCAGCUCGUGCCGUGAGGUGUCGGGUUAAGUCCCAUAACGAGCGCAACCCCUAUCAUUAGUUGCCAUCAGGUCAAGCUGGGGACUCUAAUGAAACUGCCUACGCAAGUAGUGAGGAAGGUGGGGAUGACGUCAAAUCAGCACGGCCCUUACGUCCAGGGCUACACACGUGCUACAAUGGCCGGUACAAAGGGCAGCUACCUGGUGACAGGAUGCUAAUCUCAAAAGCCGGUCUCAGUUCGGAUCGGAGUCUGCAACCCGACUCCAUGAAGUUGGAAUCGCUAGUAAUCGUGGAUCAGCAUGCCACGGUGAAUACGUUCCCGGGCCUU